AUUGAACGCUGGCGGAAUGCUUUACACAUGCAAGUCGAACGGUAGAGGGGGCAACCCCUCGAGAGUGGCGGACGGGUGAGUAAUAUAUCGGAACGUGCCCAGUCGUGGGGGAUAACGUAGCGAAAGUUACGCUAAUACCGCAUACGAUCUAAGGAUGAAAGCGGGGGAUCGCAAGACCUCGCGCGAUUGGAGCGGCCGAUAUCAGAUUAGGUAGUUGGUGGGGUAAAGGCUCACCAAGCCAACGAUCUGUAGCUGGUCUGAGAGGACGACAGGCAACACUGAAACUAGGAAACGGUCAAGCCUCCUAGGGAGGGAAGAGUUGGGAAUUUUGGACAAUGGACGCAAGUCUGAUCCAGCCAUUCCGCGUGCAGGAUGAAGGCCCUCGGGUUGUAAACUGCUUUUGUACGGAACGAAAAGGUCUCUCUUAAUACGGGGGACUCAUGACGGUACCGUAAGAAUAAGCACCGGCUAACUACGUGCCAGCCGCCGCAGUAAGAC
rnacentral:rRNA from 1 species